rnacentral:RNase_P_RNA from 1 species
CAAUUUUUGGAUAAUCGCGUAGCUUUUUAGGUUAUGAGGAAAGUCCAUGCUAGCACUGGCUGUGAUGCCAGUAGUGUUUGUGCUAGGCGAAAAAAUAAGCCUAGGAAUGUCUUUGACAUUACGGCGGAAAAAAAGGCUAAGUCGAAUGAUAUGCCUGAGUAUUUCUGAAAGUGCCACAGUGACGCAGUUUCUAUGGAAACGUAGAAAAUGGAACGCGGUAAACCCCUCAAGCUAGCAACCCAAACUUUGGUCGGGGCAUGGGAUAGACGGGAAACGAACCUUCUAUCCUGACUGUUUACAGUAGACAGAUGAUUAUCGAAAGAAGUAAUACCUAGUUAUUUCUGGAACAAAACAUGGCUUAUAGAAAAU